rnacentral:lncRNA from 1 species
GCCGGGAGAGGGGGCUCCCAGCGCGGAGCCGUGUCUGCACCCCGGGCCGGGAUGUUGUUCAUCUUCCAGCCUCCCCUCCAGAGCUUAGAACCGAAUUCUCCUCCCCCGAUUCUGCAUUUGGGUUCCCUCGGCUUUAGAGACUGCGCCCGGGGGGCGCACACGAUCCCAUUGCUUUUUGGUGACUCCACACGCUCGAACGGCUGUGUCUGCUUAUAGAAAAACAAGGCUGCUGUUGACAGAAAACAGAGCAUGUAUGUUUAAGGGUUGAAGAAUGGAAAUGGAGAAUAUGCAGUCCUGUGAGUGAAGAACAGAGGCUUUAAUCUAAACUCUUAUUCUGAUUUGUUGUUUGACCUUAGGCAAGCUUCUGCAAGUUUGCCAUAUUAAUACUACUUAAGUCACAGAAGGCAGUUAUACUUGUGUAGUGCUGACUUAGAUUAAGAUCACAAAUCAACAUGAAUGUAGGAAGAAAAAUAUGAAAAUGUGCUGUGUUUUUUUUAAGGUAUUAAAGUACCUUCGUAGCUUUUCUGUUUCUUAAUUCUGUGGUGUGUGCAGCAG